rnacentral:rRNA from 1 species
UAGGGAAUCUUCGGCAAUGGGGGGAACCCUGACCGAGCAACGCCGCGUGAGUGAAGAAGGUUUUCGGAUCGUAAAGCUCUGUUGUUAAGGAAGAACGAGUGUGAGAAUGGAAAGUUCAUGCUGUGACGGUACUUAACCAGAAAGUGACGGCUAACUACGUGCCAGCAGCCGCGGUAAUACGUAGGUCCCGAGCGUUGUUCGGAUUUAUUGGGCGUAAAGCGAGCGCAGGCGGUUAGAAAAGUCUGAAGUGAAAGGCAGUGGCUCAACCAUUGUAGGCUUUGGAAACUGUUUAACUUGAGUGCAGAAGGGGAGAGUGAAAUUCCAUGUGUAGCGGUGAAAUGCGUAGAUAUAUGGAGGAACACCGGUGGCGAAAGCGGCUCUAUGGUCUGUAACUGACACUGAGGCUCGAAAGCGUGGGGAGCGAACAGG